rnacentral:misc_RNA from 1 species
ACAUUCAAGGCUUUUCCCUUAAGUUUCAGCUUCCCACCCACAACAUUCUCAUAAGCCGACAUCUUGUCGAAUCAAGAAAGACUGGAACUGCAACUCCACUUCCCAAGUCUCUGACCAAAACUUAAGAUAGAAGACAAUUUCGGACGGAGACUAAUCGGUCUUCGAUUCAAUUAAUUCUUAUCUAGGCUUUGUAUUCCAUCUAAGGGCUCCGUGAUUUGUAGAAUAGAGAGCUCAG